GUGCUCACUGUGGCAGCACACAUAUAAAAUUGGAAUGACAGGAAGAAGACCGGCAGGCCCUUGCACAAGGAUGACAUGCAAAUUCAUGAAGCUCCCAUAUUUUUA
ensembl:snRNA U6 U6 spliceosomal RNA